rnacentral:lncRNA from 10 species
CUUUUUACUGCUUCAUUAUCUGGAAGUCGUCGCCUGAUCUCAUGCUUCCCUGAAUUCGGCUGGUGUCUUGAUUACGAUGGAAUCACUAAGCAGAGAGUUUUGCCAUGUGUGAUUUAUUCGUUUGUGCAUAGCCACAGCAGAGCAUCCAUGCAGCCCGCAGUGGCUCUGUGUUCCAGUGUGCCAAGUCACCAAGACUUGCUACCUUAAGGCCAGGCGCAGUGGCUCACGCCUG